rnacentral:rRNA from 1 species
AACGAACGCUGGCGGCAUGCCUAACACAUGCAAGUCGAACGAGACCUUCGGGUCUAGUGGCGCACGGGUGCGUAACGCGUGGGAACCUGCCCUUAGGUUCGGAAUAACUCCCCGAAAGGGGUGCUAAUACCGGAUAAUGUCUUCGGACCAAAGAUUUAUCGCCUUUGGAUGGGCCCGCGUUGGAUUAGCUAGUUGGUAGGGUAAAAGCCUACCAAGGCGACGAUCCAUAGCUGGUCUGAGAGGAUGAUCAGCCACACUGGGACUGAGACACGGCCCAGACUCCUGCGGGAGGCAGCAGUGGGGAAUAUUGGACAAUGGGCGAAAGCCUGAUCCAGCAAUGCCGCGUGAGUGAUGAAGGCCUUAGGGUUGUAAAGCUCUUUUACCCGGGAUGAUAAUGACAGUACCGGGAGAAUAAGCCCCGGCUAACUCCGU